CGAGCAGUGCGACUGCCUGCACACCAACGGGUCCGGCGGCCCCGUGGCCCUGGCUCCAGGGAGCGUCGUCCUGCUGGGCUGCAAGAAAUGCGUGUGCCAGGACGGGGCCCUGCGGUGCAGCAGCGAGGGCUGCCAGGGGCUGCUCCCGCUGAGCCCCUGGUCGGAGUGGGCGCCCUGCAGCCCCUGCCUGCCCCUGCCAGCCCGGCUCCUGCCCCAGUUGGAGGUCCCGGGGGAUGUCGUGCCCCAGGUUUCGCUGCAGCACCGCUACCGAGCCUGCUUGGAUCCCGAGACCGGCCUGCCCUGGGCUGGCGAUGCGGCUGCUUGCUCGGCGGAGCUGCGGCAGGAACGGCUCUGCCCGGACCCCCACAUCUGCCAAGAGCUCUGCCUCUGGAGCCCCUGGGGGCCCUGGGGGCCCUGCCAGCAGCCCUGCAGCGGGGGCGUCCGCCUGCGACACCGCCACCUCCAGAAC